rnacentral:tmRNA from 1 species
GGGGCAGUAAUUGGUUUCGACCUGAAUUACUAAUUGAGACUGCAAGUAGUAGGCAUACUUUAAAUGCACAAAUUAAAAUUAAAUGACGAAGAUAAUUCGUAUGCUUCUUUUGGAGCUUUCGCUCCUACAUUUGCCUAAUUUAAGGUAGAAGAAGGCUUUUAUUCACUUUUUCUUAUAGGGUGUUUAAGGGUUCAUAGAUAUAAGAUAUAUAAAAUUGUUUUUCCUUAGAUAAUUUUACGAACUUUUAUAAGGAUCGCAUAGAAUUUUGGUGGGUUGGAUCCAUGUUUUAUGUUAAAUUAAUUCCAACUAAACUUGUAGACGUUUCAAGAUAGGAUUUAUGGGACAGGAGUUCAAAUCUCCUCUGCUCCACCA